GGUCUCACGUUGCGAUUGGGCCGGGCAGCUGCUAUGUUUGUGGACUGGGCUGUUGGCACACGUUGUGUUUGCUGGUGUUGUUGCCUAAUCCUGAAGCAGGUCGGUUUGCCGACAACGAUGAGACAGAGGCGGUUUCAGCAGGUCGGUUUCCAUGGGCGGUUUCGUUGGAGGCAAGGCAGCUGCUGUAUUUUAGUGGAGGCAGUGGAAGUGGGUGUGAAGAGGCGCGGACGGUCUGAGCGUUGGCGCGAUGGCGUCAGUUACUGGAGUUCUUGUUGCGCAUGUUUCUUGCCGUCCUAUUUUGACUGAUGUGCUCAAGACUUUAGAGGGUUCCAUUCCUUUCUACUCAUUUAAAAGCGUUGAUGGUCUCUAUGUGGCAACGGGUUUUGUGAUUGUUCCUCUACCCGCUUAGUUUGAUGAGUUUACUCUUCUGGAGGCAUGUGCUUCAACAACGAAGGAUGGAGCAGAGGAGGCCGCGGCGAGCGCACUGAUCCAAGCAGCAAGCCGUGAUUUUGGUGUUGUGGUCAGCAGCUCAAUUUUCGGUGAUGUAGAGGAGCUGCAGAAGAAAAAUGAAAAGCUGGUCAGGAACAAUAUGCUGCUCAAGUCUGGUUGGGUUCAAUCAAUCGAUACUCCAGAAGACGCUUGAACAUAUCACUUUGGACGCCGUUGACGGUUCCUCCAGGAAGUCCAUCGGGAUACUUGCUCAUGAAGCUGCUGUCUGGGCAGAGGAGAGUGUUUGGAUGGCCACAGCUGCAGUGGAAGAAUUGUCGUCCGAGUUCAUGGAUGAAACUUGAGUCAUUUCCUGUGCUCUGCGUGGCACUGAGUUGGUGUAGUUGUUUGUUUGGUAAAAAAGUAUGUGUAACAAUCUUUUGUAUGGUCCAAAAUGUUAGGCGACCUCAUGUGUUUGGAAUAUGUCUUAGUCUAAAGUGUACCAAUGUUUUGUCUGACCAACAAUUGGCACCAGGGCUAUUGUGCCUGUAAUGUAUGUUAAUCUGAGGUCGGGUAUCA